GUGUCAGCAGCCGCGGUAAAACGUAGGUUCCGAGCGUUAUCCGGAUUUACUGGGCGUAAAGCGUGUUCAGGCGGCUGGACAAGUCGGGCAUGAAAUCUCUCGGCUCAACCGGGAGAGGCUGUCCGAAACUGUUCGGCUGGAGGGCAGUAGAGGGUGGUGGAAUUCCGGGUGUAGUGGUGAAAUGCGUAGAUAUCCGGAGGAACACCAGUGGCGAAAGCGGCCACCUGGACUGUACCUGACGCUCAAACACGAAAGCUAGGGGAGCGAACGGGAUUAGAAACCCCGGUAGUCC
rnacentral:rRNA from 1 species